rnacentral:rRNA from 1 species
AUUGAACGGUAGCGGGAUUCGUUACACAUGCAAGUCGAACGGGAGCGGGGACUGUGUUCUUGCGGCGGGGGGCGAACUGGGGAGUAAUGUAUCGGAACGUGCCCAGUAGCUGAGGAUAACUACGCUAAAGCGUAGCUAAUACCGCGUACGCGCUACUGGGGAAAGCAUGUGAUCGUAAGACCUUUCACUAUUGGAGCGGCCGAUAUCGAAUUCGCUGGUUGGUGAGGUAACGGCUCACCAAGGCGCCGAUGCGUAGCUGGUUUUAGAGGACGACCAGCCACACUGGGACUGAGACACGGCCCAGACUCCGAGGGGAGGCAGCAGUGGGGAAUUUUGGACCAUGGGGGCAACCCUGAUCCAGCCAUCCCGCGUGUGCGAUGCUGGCCCUCGGGUUGUAAAGCACUUUUGGCAGGAAAGAAACGUCGCGGGUUAAUACAGCGUGGCACUGACGGUACCUGAACAAUAAGCACCGGCUAACUACGUG